rnacentral:lncRNA from 1 species
CGGCUUAGCCGCGGAGGGCGGGGCGGCGGCCCGGAAAGUUCCCGGCCCCUCCCCGGUCCGGCAGGCAGAGGGAGGGGCCGGGGCUUCCGGACGGGCGCGGGGCGCCGGGGGUGACUCAGGGGGCGCUGACUCAGGGGCCGCCGCCCGCCCCGGCCGGGCGCGAGGUCACCUGUGCUCUGCUGGGUCGGGGGCUGCGAACCGCAACCGAAAGAAACCUGGGAAGAGCGGGAUUCUUCGCCCGGCCGCGCUGGGCCCAUGCAGCUCCGGCCCUGGGCGGGGGCUCCGGGGACCCUGCGGGCAUCUCGGGAAUGGCCCAGGACCCGGUUCCGCGGACCCGGGUGCGUCCACCUGCUGGGCGGCUUUUGCAGCAGCCAGGGCAGCCUGGGCCUUGGCUGGGAGUGGGAACCUGGCCGGUCCUCACCGCUUUCCAGUGACCAGGCUCUGCGUUUCCUCCCAGGGCUCCCAAAGCUCUGAGACAUUGCCACAACACCGAAGCCCGGCUGUGAAACAACCCUGACUCUACCGCAGGCUCCGGGUCCCUCGGCGGAAAGGCCGCCUUCAUAGCCACAGAAAAAGUUGUAAGGUCCAGGCGCGGAGCCCAGCCGGCGAUCGCAAAUGGAACGGUUGGCUGGGGCGCAGCGCAUGGAAAUGCCAGUUGGGACCCGCGGCUCUGCCAACAGCGGCGGAUCCGACUGAGAAGCUCGAACUGGUCCAGCACUCAGGAGGCUGAGACAGGAGGAUUGCCAUGUGUUUGAGGCCAGCCUGGGCUACAUAGCAAGACCUUGUCUAAAGAAAACAGAAAACAACAACAACACACAACAGAAACCCCAAAAGUGAUGGUGCUGAAUCUUCUUGGAGAGAGGAUCUCAUAGGCACUGGACAGAACCCGUGGAGUCCGGACAGGUCCACACUCCAGGGAGCGGACGCUCACAACCCCUGAACUCUUGUGUCUCUUAGAACCCAGUACCGUGAGGGUGCACAGCGGGCCCCAACACGCCAUCGAAUGGUUGUGGCCGCAAACUGGUAAGGCCGUUGUCACACCGCAGUGUCAAACCCUGCAACGCACGGAAGGUGCUCACUGCGUUCAGCAAACCCCACAAAGGUCUGCAUGGCAGGGAUUUGGUCGGCUUUUGCUGGCUGGGAGGACAACUCAGGGCCUGUACACAGCGGCCACCCCUAAUGUGUCGCAACCCGCGCUGGCUGCAGGCCCACCAGGCCUGGCGGUGUCCCGUUGCCAGCUGCUGGGGGGCGCUCUUCCUGCGCUCUUGAACAUCCCAUGCCUGAGGAAGGGCAGCCAUGGCUCUGAGAGAACAGUGGAAGGAUGGCGCCCGUUAGGCGCUCAUACUAGCAGGCCUGUUAGACUCUCUCGGAUUUCUCAUUGCACUUUGAAAACAGAACCCACGAAUCAUGCACGGCCCAUGCCAACAGGGAGCUGCGGAGCAGCCACCCUGAACCCUGGCUCCAGCUGCCUCUGACAGUGGCUCGCGGGCACGGACUCCGCAGCAAGCUCCUACCUUGGAAAACCGCAAUCAGCCCACCGAUCAAUAAAAACCUUCAAGUGGAUUAGGUCAAAAGAGCAAUAAAUCCUCUGCUUUCAGCAAAUAUUACUGAUCCCAGCCAUGCCUGCCCUGGAAGGAGUGGGGUAGACAAGGAGGCCGUGGACAGAUGGUGUCAGAAAACCGAGGAUCUGAACAAACCGCUCCCGAGGCACCGGAUGUCCCAAGCCUGCGGGACAUUCCUGGCCACCUUCCGUCCUAAGGCAGAAAACCUGGAUGCAUUCUGACCCUUUGUGCCUCACUUCUGAGGAAAAUAACCUUUCUGUCCUCUGUCUCCUUUGCUUAAUCCUAAGAAUAAUGGGAAAAGGAUAAAAACCCACACCAGCCUAGAAGUGUGGUCACCAGGCGAGAUGACCACAGCCUGGUGGCCAGGCACACUGGGCCCGCAGAGCUGAGUGGAUAAAGGUUAGGACAGGGCAGUAGGGCAGGGACACGUCCAGGGGGAGGGGCAUUCCCAGUACAGUGAAUGACACUAUCACCCAGUGCACAGAGCCAAUCAGAUGCUGUUUUGGACCAAUCAGAAUCUUGCUAUUUUCAAUCCCUCAUUUGAAUCUGCUGCUGUUCACAGGACCAGUCAGAAGAUGCUCUUCGCAAUCCUUCAUUUGCAUGUGGGCACAGCCAAUCAAGACUCUGCUCCUGAUCCUUCAUUUACAUAAGGCAAAAACCAGAGGCAUUUUGGGAUAGGACAGUUCAUUCCCAGGGAGUGUUUGAUAGGACGACUAUUCUAAUGCCUUCUUUACAUGAAGAGAGAGAGAUAAUGCAGGAAUUCCAGAUGCAAAAGACCUUUCCCCCUCCCGAAGGCUGCUGUGAGUGUAUUUUUCUGCCUUCAAUAAAUGUACACUCUUGCUGCCUUUUCUGAGUGUCUUGUUCAGGUCACCAAGAACCUGGAAAGAAGCCCCACGGGACCCUCCAUCCACUAACAUUUCGGACAGGAACUCCCAGGUGCUGGUCACCUCUGGAGGGUGGACUUGGUUUGAUAGCACCCACUCAGCGCUCGCCUCCCCCGGCCAGGCUGGGCCCUGGAGGCCAGGCAUCGCACCUGGGUGGGACAGUUGGCUGUGAAACUGAAGUGAGCAGGACCAUCUUCGCUGGCCUGGGGCUGUGAUACCCUUCACUGCUACUGACCCCCUCUGGGCCCACAUUAAAGUCCACCGUUCUGAGCUGGACAGCGGGAAUGAGCCCCUGUGCUGCAGAAGGGCCUGAGGGUCAGAGCUCAGGAGAUCCCAUUGCUUUCUUCCAUGUUUUGUUUCAGAAUGAACGUGCUCUUUGUGGUUGUUUCAUGAGGUUCAAGAAACUCCACAACCCAUUUGGCCACCCACUGAUCUUUUAGGGAAAGACCCCCCUAGAAGGAUUGGUCCAAGGGUUUAUUAAUUUGGAAGGAAGGCUAAUAAAGCGGAAAAGGAUUAUUUUGCUCCAGCCCAGCACUGUUUUAUUUAGAGCUGUACAGAGAGUGUUUCUGAUGCUGUGAUUUGUGCUGGCACUUUGCUUGGUGUCACAGCUAAAGUAGAUCAGGGCAUUGCUAUAGUGGAAAAACUCUUUAACUUCUCUAUUUUAUUAAGUCUUACAUUAUGUGAUGAUUCUUUAAACAUCCCCAAAAGUUUUGAGGUCCUUAAAAACAAACACUGGGAACAGUAAGGUGGCUUUAAUCAAGACAAGAAACUAGAGAGUAAAAUGGUAACUAAACAUUAACUUUGCAUAUUGCUGUAGUUUGGAUGUUAAAUAUCCCCCAAAGCCCAAGUGUUGAAGGCUCAGUCCCCAGCCUGCAGUGCAAUUGAGAAGUGGUGAGACCUUUAAGGGCAGGGCCUAGUGAAAGGGAGUUAGGUCAUUGGGGUAUGGCCUUGAAGGGACCUGAGCUCCGCCCCUUCCUGCUCCUUUCUGUCUGCUUCCUAGCUGCCAUGAUGUGAGCAGCUUUGCGCUUCCCCACACUCCUGUCAGGAGGAGCCACUUCACCCUAGGCCCCGAAUCCAGGGCCCCACUGCCUGUGUACUGAAACUUGUGACAGUGGGAGCUCCAAUUCUCCUUUAAGCUUGAUUGUCACAGGUGUUUGUUGCAGUGAGAGAAAGCUGACCUACCCUAGAUAUUGAUUUUGCAUGGAUUAAUCACAUCAGAUGAAAUGCAGAAUUCUGAUAGGAACUUGAGAAAGGGUGAGCAUGAAGGCCAUGUCUAGAAGUUGGCCUGGUUUGGAGUCUGACAGCUGAGACUUUGGUUUUAAGUGUCCCAGUGAGAGGCCUUCUCUCUGCCUGCUGGCACCUGCUGCUCUUACUCGACCCCUGCAUGGGGCACAGGGCAGCUCAAGGAGGACAGUCACUUUGGUGGCUCCUUGGAUUCGGCUGAGGAACAAGCUCACCCCUCAGCCACCAUGAAGCCGGCACUGAGGGGUCUUAUUUGCCAAAAGAGGCCUCGUUAGUAAGUGGUUUUGGUUGUGUUUUUAAGCUCUAUUUGCCAACUAUAGGGAUUAACUUUAAUUAGUUUUACAAAACUUAAAGGGUUUUAAAAACUUUUCAAAUAACUUGAGGAAAAUAAUAUACUGUUACUUCUCAUGGGAUUAAUUUCCUGAAAGGCUCCCUGCUUGGGCUUAGACAUAGAUUUUCUGCUCCCCACGCUUCUCCGCCCUCCAGACCUCUCAAGGUCAUUUCCACAGAAAUGCUUGGUUAAUUAGGGGUUCUAGUGACUGAGGAGAUACGAAUACAAAACUUGGUUGAAAAUGAGGAAGUUGUGUUGUAUGCCUGUAUCAGUUUUGCCAAAAUGGAUAUCACUAUUCUGUAAUACGAACAUGCACUUAAAAAAAAUAAAGAAUGGAGGCCCGGGGAUUUAGCUCAGUGGUUCCAGCACCUGCCUUGCAAACACAAGGUCCCGAGUUCGAUCCCUGGUACCAAAAAAAAAAAAAGAAUGGAGAAGUUAGGUGUGGUGGCACACCUGUAAUUCCAGCACUGGGGAGGCUGAGGCAGCAGGGUCCCUGUGAGUUUGAGGCCAGGCUGGGUUCAAGACCAGUGAGUCCAAGACGAGCUUGGAAUACAUAGCAAGACUUUCUCUCAAAAAACCAAACAAAACCAAAAACAAAAACAAAACCAACAGCAAAACAAAAUGAACUCCAUCAGAAAAACGCAAUCAGAAAUAGACUCAAUCAAACAAAACUCAGAAAUUUCUUUUCUUUCUUCUCUUCUCUUCCUCCCCCCCCUUUUCCCUCCUCCCAUUUCUCCUUCUUUGAGACAGAUUCUCACUGUGUAGUUCAGGCUGGCCUUGAACUCACUAUGUAUACCAGGCUGGGCUCAGACUCACAGCAGUCCUCCUGCCUCAGCCUCCCAAGUGAUGAGAUUAUCCACCACAACCACCCCUGGCAUUAAUUUUUAAAAAAUACAUAAUUUGGAAUUUACUACUACUUUUUUGGCUUAAAGAAGAGUUUAUUUAUUGGUGACUAUAACCUACAUCUAUAUCCUGCCGAAAAAGUUUACACACUUCAGCAGUUUGUGGUACUAAUAAACGCCUGGAAGCUCAGGCCCACCACUGAGUACCUUGUGUGAUUGUAGAGGCCGAAGGUAACUUGCGUUAAUCUCAUGAUGUCUUGAUAAAUUCAGUAUUAAAAUAUUUGUAGAAGUUUUUCUUUUUCUGGUGCACACUUUUUCUGGCAGACUACGUAUGAUGAUGCACAUGUAUCUGUGAUUACCGUACAUAUAUAUGUGAAUACUCAGCUGAGGGUUUUAGCUUUAUUUUCCUGAACACUGUUGGGGAAAUUGAGACUGUGAGAGAUUCUUACUUGAAGAGCCUGUUUUGUGCUCUUGGCUCUUAACUACCCCUUGGCACUGCUGUAUUUAAUUCAUUUAACCUUCAAGGCCCCAGGGUCACCUGGCCUCGACCAAGUUCUACUGUUUCUGCCUGAAGGAAAGGAAGAGGGAGGGAGGAUCUCAUUUUGAGACCCGGAAGUUUGAUACUUGGCUUCCAAGUUGCGUUUGGUGCCUAGAUAUCCACCAGCAAGCGCUUAACGCGACACACGGGACCGCCCGGGCCAUUUGUAGACUGCGUGCUAGUUGCUGUCACUCACGUCCCACGGUCGGAUGGCGACAGCAGCACCCAUCUGCCCUGCGGUCUCCUGCUGUGUGCAAACAAGGCCGGGUGCCCUUGCGGUGGGGCCUGCUCUCUCAAGCUGUGUCCCCUCCAGAGGAGCCAGGGAGCCACAGAUGUGAAACAGCAGCCCCAGGCAGAGCCGUGGCAUCCGAUGUGUCCCGGACGGGGUCCUCACCCGAGGAGGAGCCGCAUGGAGAGGGCCCAACUCGGGAACGAAAGCACUGGAGUGGCGGUGGCCCCUUCCUCCGCUGUGGGCCGUGAACUGCAGGCUUCCAGGCCGCGCGAGACAGAGGCCCGCUUUCAUCUGCUGAACACGCUGCGCC